rnacentral:rRNA from 1 species
CGGGUGAGUAACACGUGGGUAACCUGCCUGUAAGAUUGGGAUAACUCCGGGAAACCGGAGCUAAUACCGGAUAACAUUUUGAACCGCAUGGUUCGAAAUUGAAAGAUGGCUUCGGCUAUCACUUACAGAUGGACCCGCGGCGCAUUAGCUAGUUGGUGAGGUAACGGCUCACCAAGGCGACGAUGCGUAGCCGACCUGAGAGGGUGAUCGGCCACACUGGGACUGAGACACGGCCCAGACUCCUACGGGAGGCAGCAGUAGGGAAUCUUCCGCAAUGGACGAAAGUCUGACGGAGCAACGCCGCGUGAACGAUGAAGGCCUUCGGGUCGUAAAGUUCUGUUGUUAGGGAAGAACAAGUACGAGAGUAACUGCUCGUACCUUGACGGUACCUAACCAGAAAGCCACGGCUAACUACGUGCCAGCAGCCGCGGUAAUACGUAGGUGGCAAGCGUUGUCCGGAAUUAUUGGGCGUAAAGCGCGCGCAGGCGGUUCUUUAAGUCUGAUGUGAAAUCUCGCGGCUCAACCGCGAGCGGUCAUUGGAAACUGGGGAACUUGAGUGCAGAAGAGGAGAGUGGAAUUCCACGUGUAGCGGUGAAAUGCGUAGAGAUGUGGAGGAACACCAGUGGCGAAGGCGACUCUCUGGUCUGUAACUGACGCUGAGGCGCGAAAGCGUGGGGAGCGAACAGGAUUAGAUACCCUGGUAGUCCACGCCGUAAACGAUGAGUGCUAAGUGUUAGAGGGUUUCCGCCCUUUAGUGCUGCAGCAAACGCAUUAAGCACUCCGCCUGGGGGAGUACGGUCGCAAGACUGAAACUCAAGGAAUUGACGGGGGGCCCGCACAAGCGGUGGAGCAUGGUGGUUUAAUUCGAAGCACGCGAGAAACCUUACCAG